rnacentral:rRNA from 1 species
GAUGAACGCUGGCGGCGUGCCUAACACAUGCAAGUCGAACGGAAAGGCCCUCUUGUGGGGUACUUGCGUGGGGAAAGGGUGAGUCACAUGUGAGUAACCUCCCCUUGUCUUUGGGAUAACUUCAGGACACAGGGGCUCAUACCGGAUUGGAGCUUAUGCCGCACGGUGGGGGUCGGAAGGUCUUGGCGGCUGGGGCUGGACUGGUGGCGGAUGAGCUAGUUGGUGGGGUAAUGGAUCACCAAGGCGAUGACGGGUAGUCGGCCGGAGAGGAGGAUCAGCAAAAAGGGAACUGAGACACGGUCAAGACUCCUAAGGGAGGCAGCAGUGGGGAAUAUUGGACAAUGGGCGGAAGCCUGAUCCAGCCAUACCGCGUGGGUGAAGAAGGCCUUCGGGUGGUAAAGCCCUUUUGUUGGGAAAGAAAAGCAGCAGGUUAAUACCCCGCUGUUCUGACGGUACCAAAAGAAUAAGCACCGGCUAACUUCGUG